UACGGAGGGGGCGAGCGUUAUUCGGAAUUAUUGGGCGUAAAGGGCGCGUAGGCGGCUUUGCAAGUGACGGGUGAAAUCCCUCGGCUUAACCGAGGAACUGCCUGUCAAACUGCAUGGCUUGAGACCGGGAGAGGUGAGUGGAAUUCCCAGUGUAGCGGUGAAAUGCGUAGAUAUUGGGAGGAACACCAGUGGCGAAGGCGGCUCACUGGACCGGUACUGACGCUGAUGCGCGAAAGCGUGGGGAGCAAACAGG
rnacentral:rRNA from 1 species